rnacentral:rRNA from 1 species
AUUGAACGCUGGCGGCAGGCUUAACACAUGCAAGUCGAGCGGAGAUGAGGUGCUUGCACCUUAUCUUAGCGGCGGACGGGUGAGUAAUGCUUAGGAAUCUGCCUAUUAGUGGGGGACAACAUUCCGAAAGGAAUGCUAAUACCGCAUACGUCCUACGGGAGAAAGCAGGGGAUCUUCGGACCUUGCGCUAAUAGAUGAGCCUAAGUCGGAUUAGCUAGUUGGUGGGGUAAAGGCCUACCAAGGCGACGAUCUGUAGCGGGUCUGAGAGGAUGAUCCGCCACACUGGGACUGAGACACGGCCCAGACUCCUACGGGAAGCAGCAGUGGGGAAUAUUGGACAAUGGGGGAAACCCUGAUCCAGCCGUGCCGCGUGUGUGAAGAAGGCCUUAUGGUUGUAAAGCACUUUAAGCGAGGAGGAGGCUACUGAGACUAAUACUCUUGGAUAGUGGACGUUACUCGCAGAAUAAGCACCGGCUAACUCUGUGCCAGCCGCCGCCGUAA